GGUCAAUGAUGUUUUGGCAUGUAUUAUCUGAUAUUAAAGCUGAUGUGUAUACUACUUU
rnacentral:snoRNA from 1 species